UGCCAGCAGCCGCGGUAAGACGUACCGGACGAACGUCAUUCGGAUUUACUGGGCUUAAAGAGUACGUAGGCGGUCCUUCAGGUGGGGUGUGAAAGCCCACGGCUCAACCGUGGAAUUGCGCUCCAAACCGGGGGACUUGAGGGAGACAGGGGUGAGCGGAACUGAUGGUGGAGCGGUGAAAUGCGUUGAUAUCAUCAGGAACACCGGUGGCGAAGGCGGCUUACUGGGCCGUCUCUGACGCUGAGGUGCGAAAGCUAGGGUAGCGAACGGGAUUAGAUA
rnacentral:rRNA from 1 species